rnacentral:rRNA from 1 species
UACGGAGGAUGCGAGCGUUAUCCGGAUUUAUUGGGUUUAAAGGGUGCGUAGGCGGAACAUUAAGUCAGCGGUAAAAUCGAGGGGCUCAACCCCUUUAAGCCGUUGAAACUGGCGUUCUUGAGUGGAAGAGAAGUAUGCGGAAUGCGUGGUGUAGCGGUGAAAUGCAUAGAUAUCACGCAGAACCCCGAUUGCGAAGGCAGCAUGCCGGCUUCCGACUGACGCUGAAGCACGAAAGCGUGGGGAUCGAACAGG